GUACACGCUGUGACUAGCAUAUCAAUAAGCGGAGGAAAAGAAACUAACAAGGAUUCCCCUAGUAACGGCGAGUGAAGCGGGAAGAGCUCAAAUUUGAAAUCUUAAAGGGUUUCCCUUUACGAAUUGUAGUUUAAAGAAGUGUUUUCUGUUGAGGUUUUGGUAAAAGUUCUUUGGAAUAGGACAUCAUAGAGGGUGAGAAUCCCGUAUUUGACCUUUACUUUCAACUUUGUGAUACACUUUCAAAGAGUCGGAUUGUUUGGGAAUGCAGUCCAAAAUGGGCGGUAAAUUUCAUCUAAAGCUAAAUAUUGGCGAGAGACCGAUAGCGAACAAGUACCGUGAGGGAAAGAUGAAAAGAACUUUGAAAAGAGAGUUAAACAGUACGUGAAAUUGUCAAAAGGGAAGCGUUUGACACCAGUGUUGUUUUUCUGAAAAUCAAUUAAAGAACUGUUUAUGCUAAGUUGUUUAGACUUCAUCAGCUAACUGUUUAGUUUUGAGCUUUUCUUUAAUGCACUUUUCAGUUAACAAGUCAACAUCAAUUUCUUUUGCUGCUAAAAAAGCUUGAGGAAGGUGGCUUGAGAUUCGUCUUAAGUGUUUAUAGCCUCUUGCCUAUGCAGUCGGAGAGAUUGAGGUCUGCAGCGUAGAUCCUUCGGGGCUAAAUGCAUUUGUGCUAAGUUAUAGCAUUUUAUAGACAACUUGUUGACUAUGAUUUGUCUUGUAGCUUACUCGCUUAUGUUAUUUUACCUACGCUUAGGAUGUUGACGCGCGUGUGUGCGUG
rnacentral:rRNA from 1 species